rnacentral:tRNA from 1 species
UGGGGCGUAGCCAAGCGGUAAGGCAGCGGCCUUUGAAGCCGCUAUGCGUAGGUUCGAAUCCUACCGCCCCAA